CUUUAGUUGAGAGACGAUAAGUUCAAGGUGCCCAGAAGUAGAAGGGGGUAAGUUCAGCUUACACAGCACUAGACCAUGAACCUAAACCAGAAGAAUAUAAGCCCAUCCCUAUCAAGCCCAAACUUGAUAUCGAACAAUUACCAUUUCAUUUAUCAGCAAGAAUUCUCCUUGUACUCUCCUUCCAUCUAGCAGUCCAGUUCAAGAGCGUAUGCCACCGUGACAGAAUCUUAUUUUGGAGAAUAUAGAUGUGAAGCUAAUGACCAAAGUUGUCUACCAACCAAUAACAGUUGUUAUCUCAAUUCGUCCUGAAAAGGGGGACUCGAGCAGUACUGUCGGAAAUGAUGGUUGUUCAGCAGGAGUCUAUGAUAGAGGGUUAUUAGCUUGAAGUUCUAUGAUUUCAUAGGUACCGUUUGGUCUGAUCAUGGUAACUGAGGCAAGACUUCUCAAAAUUAGUGUUGGGCAGUUAGGAAGUUAAUUCUUCCAUGCGAUUUAAUUCGAGACAGCAAGGUGAUUCGUCUAGAUCCCCAUCAGAUAAACAUUCCAGGGCCUAGGCCUAUUAUGAUGGCAAAUAUAUUAAAGCAACUGUUGUGAUGCAAGACAAUUUAAAAAGUAAAUAGCUUCUCACUCUUGUGUUAACAUCAAGCCACCUGCUUUGAUGAAAAAUUUGCCCUCUUAUUACCCCUAGAAUAUGCAUUUGUGAUUAGGGCUGUAUACCAAUCAACUCACAGCCUCAGAUUGAUAUAUGUGGAAGAUCAGACUUCUUACGCUGCCCAAUACUAAUAUUAACCAGGAAGUCCAACCUAUCUAUUGCCAUGAUCAAACCAAAAUAGAUACCAGCAAAAUCAUAGAAUUUCAAGCGUAUAAUCUAUUGGCAGCCUCUUGCAAAUGAGAGAUAGUUCACCAAAAGUCUGCUUAUAGUAGGUUAAUAAUCAUCAUAGGUGGGUGGACAACUUCGGGUGUUAACUUUUUUCUGAACUCCUAGAUAAAAUUAUGCCAUCACCGUCACACACUCCUGAACUGGACUACUAGCCAGGAAAGAGGAUGGGAGUAGUAUUCUUGCUAAUACAUGGAAUAAUAAUUUUUCAAUUUCAGGUUCAGGGUUGAGUUAGGUUAGGGGUAGGCUGGAUACUGAAAUAGGGCUCGAAUUCACGGUGUGUGUGCGUGUGCACGUGCUAGGGUACUUGACAAAUGGUAAAGUUUAUUAUUACAAAGAAGUAGAGGUUAUACUUCAGUAUAUUGUGCACGUGCAAAGGUACUUGACAAAUGGUAAAGUUCAUUAUUACAAAGAAGUAGAGGUUAUACUUUAGUAUAUGAUAUAGAUUGAUUUGUAAUUUUUUCAUCUUCGCUUUAUAGAUUUAAUUAUUGACUUCCAUACGUGAUCAAUUUCAGCCUAUGCACACUACUCCGGGAUAGUAAUUUAUGUUUUAGCUGCAAAGUUCACAAUACCAAAGAAAAUUUUAUUUAUUAAUCCCUUCCGCACAAAGACAUUGUCUACUGAUUCAUAGAUAAAGAGUAGAGAAGUGGACUUUAUAUAUGAAAUUGAGAUGGAGGGAGCAUAAAAGAUUUUGGCAAUAGAAGUACAAUAAUCUCAGACAUGUUGCACUUACUAGAUUAAAAAUGCGCAUAAAGAAU
rnacentral:lncRNA from 1 species